rfam:Oryctolagus cuniculus unplaced genomic scaffold chrTn0085, whole genome shotgun sequence.
CCUGCAGAAGGAGGUGCAGCAGGUGGUUCUGCUCCGCGGUCAGCAGCGGCCACAGCUCCACCUGCAGGGCCUUGACAGCUUCCGUGUCCUUUUCGUGGG